rnacentral:misc_RNA from 1 species
GCAGUAUGCACAGAGGAAAUUACUUGAGGAGAACCAAUCACAUGCGGAAAGUGAAGUGAAUCAAGAUGAUAUAUCUAAACCCCCUUCUACCAGCCAUAAUGCUGAUUCCCCUUCUCAACAUGCAGAGACUUCAGGGUCUCUCUCAUCUCCAUCACAUUCAGCUAAAAUAGAGAAUUCAUCUUCUGCUGUUGCUUUAUUUCCAGCAACAAAUGGAAGCAUAGAUGAUUCUGAGGAGGAAGGGACUCGCCAUUUCAUGGUGAAUGUUAUCGAGC